ensembl:snoRNA SNORA24 small nucleolar RNA, H/ACA box 24
CUCCAUGUAUCUUUGGGACCUGUCGACUGUGGCAGUCUCCCUUCCUAGCCAUGGAAGAGCAUAUUCUUGUUUAUUGGCAAAGCUGUCACCAUUUAAUUGGUAUCAGAUUCUGACUUGCACAAGUAACAUUC